rnacentral:rRNA from 1 species
GAGUUUGAUCCUGGCUCAGAAUCAACGCUGGCGGCGUGCCUAACACAUGCAAGUCGCACGAGAAAGGGACUUCGGUCCUGAGUAAAGUGGCGCACGGGUGAGUAACACGUGACUUAUCUACCCUCAAGUGAGGAAUAACCUAGGGAAACCUGGGCUAAUACCGCAUAACACUUACGAGUCAAAGCAGCAAUGCGCUUGGGGAGGAGGUCGCGGCAGAUUAGCUAGUUGGCGGGGUAAUGGCCCACCAAGGCGAUGAUCUGUAUCCGGCCUGAGAGGGCGCACGGACACACUGGAACUGAAACACGGUCCAGACUCCUACGGGAGGCAGCAGUGGGGAAUUUUGCGCAAUGGGGGAAACCCUGACGCAGCAACGCCGCGUGGAGGAUGAAGUCUCUUGGGACGUAAACUCCUUUCGAUAGGGACGAUAAUGACGGUACCUAUAGAAGAAGCCCCGGCUAACUUCGUGCCAGCAGCCGCGGUAAUACG